CUGCUGCUUGAGGAGCAUCUCGUCUGUGUCCUGUGGCUGUUCAGCUGUGUGUGUUCGGCAUCAAGGCUUUGCCUUUCUAAUACAAAUAUUUUGAGCAACGAGGCUACUUACUGACAACAGGUUUUGUCUAUGCCGGUCCCGUUGCGGCAGCAGGGAGCGAUGUGUGAAGGCCUAGUGAGCACAGUAAAAAUCAGAGACCUUACAGUAAAGGAUAAUUUGGAUAUAAAGGGGAUUAAAAUUGAUUUGCUAUUCUCUGUGUGCUCAGUUUUAAUGGGCAACCAAUAUAUAUAUUCUAUGUUGGUAAACACGUGUUUUUACAAAGUCAGUUUCCAGUGUAUACAAAUAAAAGUGACCUCAUUCAGGCAGACACUAAUACUGACAAUGGCUACUGAUGCAGCAAGUUGAAGAGUUAAGUCCUGCUUGAAUUUCUGCAGGUAUAGAAGAUAAAAAAAACCCCAGAUAUGUCUGUAUCCAAAUAGAAAUCACAGGAGAGGCCAUCUUUCCUGGAGAGCCAUAUAUAUCAGCUGAGGGCUAUAAAUGUGAGAAGUAUUUGGGGAGCUUUUCCGCGCACGCAGCAUCUGCAAGUAAGAAAGCAGGGAGGGGAGAACACUGACCAAAAGGAGUGAGUUUGCAGUAGCAGUUAGGAGAGACAGGCAAGAGAAAAAAGGAGGAAAACUAGGAGAGAAGGAAAAGUAAAAAUGGUAAUAUUUACAAAGGGGUGGGUGAUGAUGACCUUUGUUUUGUCCUUUGCUCUGUUGAACCACAUUUUUCAACCAUGAGAAAUCUCAAAAUUACUUUAACAGGAACUCAGAGAUGGAAAGAGAAAAGUGACAUGCUGGAAGAGAGGUGGGCUGUUCCUUUAAGAAGGGCAGAGAAACUUCAUACAGCAAAAGGUUAGUCUGGCUUCCAGCAGAGGCAGAAGUGAAUAACAAGCCAAUCAACAUACAAAAUAUUGAACAGAGCAGCUCAGCCACAGCCAUCAGCCAAACAUGAGAUUAGUGUGUGGUUGCAGACAGGACGGAUCUUCCUGUCAUAACAUUUCUGAAUUGAGAAGAGCCAGACACUCUGAAGAGAUGAAAGAGAUCUGGGUUGAGGUCCCCAUCCAGAACUCGGGCACGACUAAGAACAGAGGCGCAGCCAUGAACCACAUAGCUGGGAGUCUCACCAAAGGUAAGG